rnacentral:piRNA from 1 species
GUUCAUGAUGACACAGGACCUUGUCUGAAC